UACGUAGGGGGCAAGCGUUGUCCGGAAUCAUUGGGCGUAAAGAGCGUGUAGGCGGCCCGGUAAGUCCGCUGUGAAAGUCCAGGGCUCAACCCUGGGAUGCCGGUGGAUACUGUCGGGCUCGAGUCCGGAAGAGGAGUGUGGAAUUCCUGGUGUAGCGGUGAAAUGCGCAGAUAUCAGGAGGAACACCAAUGGCGAAGGCAGCACUCUGGGGACGUGACUGACGCUGAGACGCGAAAGCGUGGGGAGCAAACGGG
rnacentral:rRNA from 1 species